rnacentral:sRNA from 1 species
GUUUUUUGUUGUUUUUU